rnacentral:rRNA from 1 species
GUAUGUCACAAGCGUUAUCCGGAUUUAUUGGGCGUAAAGCGCGUCUAGGUGGUUAUGUAAGUCUGAUGUGAAAAUGCAGGGCUCAACUCUGUAUUGCGUUGGAAACUGUGUAACUAGAGUACUGGUGAGGUAAGCGGAACUACAAGUGUAGAGGUGAAAUUCGUAGAUAUUUGUAGGAAUGCCGAUGGGGAAGCCAGCUUACUGGACAGAUACUGACGCUGAAGCGCGAAAGCGUGGGUAGCAAACAGGAUUAGAUACCCUGGUAGUCCACGCCGUAAACGAUGAUUACUAGGUGUUGGGGGUCGAACCUCAGCGCCCAAGCAAACGCGAUAAGUAAUCCGCCUGGGGAGUACGUACGCAAGUAUG